ensembl:rRNA 5S_rRNA 5S ribosomal RNA
GCUUACGGCCAUACUUUGUGGCUCCGCCUGUUCUCGUGUGAUCUCAAGAACUAAGCAGAGUAGCUCGUGUUAGUACUUGAUGAAAGCCCGCCUGGGAUCCCCAGUGCCGUAAGCU